rnacentral:rRNA from 1 species
UGCGUAGGCGGUUUUGUAAGUUUGGUGUGAAAUCUCCCGGCUCAACUGGGAGGGUGCGCCGAAAACUGCAAGGCUGGAGUGUGGGAGAGGUAGGCGGAAUUCCUGGUGUAGCGGUGAAAUGCGUAGAUAUCAGGAGGAACACCUGUGGUGUAGACGGCUUACUGGACCAUAACUGACGCUGAGGCACGAAAGCGUGGGGAGCAAAACA